GGUUUGUCGCGUUGUUCGUGAAAUCUCACGGCUUAACUGUGAGCGUGCGGGCGAUACGGGCAGACUUGAGUACUGCAGGGGAGACUGGAAUUCCUGGUGUAGCGGUGGAAUGCGCAGAUAUCAGGAGGAACACCGGUGGCGAAGGCGGGUCUCUGGGCAGUAACUGACGCUGAGGAGCGAAAGCGUGGGGAGCGAACAGGAUUAGAUACCCUGGUAGUCCACGCCGUAAACGGUGGGUACUAGGUGUGGGUUUCCUUCCUUGGGAUCCGUGCCGUAGCUAACGCAUUAAGUACCCCGCCUGGGGAGUACGGCCGCAAGGCUAAAACUCAAAGAAAUUGACGGGGGCCCGCACAAGCGGCGGAGCAUGUGGAUUAAUUCGAUGCAACGCGAAGAACCUUACCUGGGUUUGACAUGCACAGGACGCCGGCAGAGAUGUCGGUUCCCUUGUGGCCUGUGUGCAGGUGGUGCAUGGCUGUCGUCAGCUCGUGUCGUGAGAUGUUGGGUUAAGUCCCGCAACGAGCGCAACCCUUGUCUCAUGUUGCCAGCGGGUAAUGCCGGGGACUCGUGAGAGACUGCCGGGGUCAACUCGGAGGAAGGUGGGGAUGACGUCAAGUCAUCAUGCCCCUUAUGUCCAGGGCUUCACACAUGCUACAAUGGCCGGUACAAAGGGCUGCGAUGCCGCGAGGUUAAGCGAAUCCUUUUAAAGCCGGUCUCAGUUCGGAUCGGGGUCUGCAACUCGACCCCGUGAAGUCGGAGUCGCUAGUAAUCGCAGAUCAG
rnacentral:rRNA from 1 species